CAAUGUUAUUCAACAGCCUUUCUCAUACUUGAGUGUAUCAAAUUUCCCUAUGGAUCUUAGGGGAUCCCGGGCAAUGCUCAUACUCAGGUUUACAUAGCCAAACAGAAAAGUGCAGGGUGGAAGGGCCAGCCCUUAUGUGUCCAAGAUCAAAGGGAACUUCCGGGUGUCAAGGCAAGGCUCACACAAGAGGGGAGAACCAAGUAUCUAAAGAGUAUAGUAGAAGUGUAGAACAGAGAUUUAUACAAACUAAGUUUGAAAUAGUGAGCAGUAAAUGGUGAUUUGAAAACAGGUGUAGUUGUAAACCUCAAACUACACAGAAUCAGAAAUCAUUCAAAGAGGUAAGAGAUUAUGGGAUACAUUGUAUAACCCCCAGCAAGGGUCUAGUUUGGUCAUGCACAGCAAUAGCUGAUGCUGGCAUAGACACAAACCACCCAAAGGAACACAUAUAGGGGAUUUGCGGGUUUGGGAUUCAUAAGGUGGCAAGUGCAUAGAAAAUGACUGACAGAGUGCACACAUAGGGUAGCAUUAACUUAAAAAUGGGAAGGGAACAUAUUUCAGCAUGUUAGUAACAUGACUGGAUUACAAAAUCAUGAGCAGAAGUAAACAAGAAUGAGAAACUGAGGCAACUUAAAGAAACAUAUUGUUGUCUAGACUAAAAAAACUAACUAGGACAUACCAGUAGAGAAGCAAAGUGCAGAAAGGUAAAGCAAACAAGAGUCCACAAUCUAGCCUUGGCUUUUAGCCGGCUAGACAUAGUAAUAGCACAAGUAGCAAUAAAGAAAAGAUAGAAUUUUAAGUGUAAGUGUGUGUUCUGAACUUAAGUUUUGUUCG
rnacentral:lncRNA from 1 species